rnacentral:rRNA from 1 species
GACGAACCGUGCGAACGUUAUUCGGAAUCACUGGGCUUAAAGCGCGUGUAGGCGGGUCCGUACGUCCGUCGCUGAAAUCCCCCGGCUCAACCGGGGAACGGGCGUGGAUACGGCGGACCUGGAGGGGCGUAGGGGGACCUGGAACUUCCGGUGGAGCGGUGAAAUGCGUUGAGAUCGGAAGGAACGCCCGUGGCGAAAGCGAGGUCCUGGACGCCUACUGACGCUGAGACGCGAAAGCCAGGGGAGCGAA